GUGGGACAGGUUGCACAAUAAAUAAUAUUUUUCGGUGUUAAUUGCUGUGCCUGAUUUCAGAGUUUUACUUCUAGCAUUUAGCAUGUUCCACAUCUGGGAUCCCCCCAUUUUUGUAUUUCUGCCACCUUCGUUCUGUGUACUGAAUUUUGCUCGUGUCAGAAGUUUCUUUAGAUUUGGUGCUUGUUGACAGCUCCCAAUAAGUCAUGAUUCAUCGACUAGAUCUUUCAUUUGCUUGAUGCAGAAUAGGUAAAAAAAAACUUAGCAGAAUUAAAGAUCAGUGACUUUUUUAUUAUCUCCCUUUAAAGGACACUUAGCUUUCACUGUGAAAAAGUCCUCUUAUUGAAUGUCAACCUUGU
rnacentral:lncRNA from 1 species